AUGCCUGGGUCCCAUUCUGGGACUCCUGGGUCCCUCCUGGGUGCCUUGGUCCCCAUCCCUGGGUGCUUGGGUCCCCCUUCUAGGGGUGUGUGUGUCCUCCCCAUGACACCUGGGUCCCCGGAGAGGGUCCCCAUCCCUGGGUGCCUGGGUCCCCACCCGAAUUCCUGGGUCCCAUCCCCAGCCUCCUGGGGGAGGGAGGCUCCUCUUAUCUCCAUGAUGGGGCUGGGAAGGGCUCCCCACCCAAAUACCUGGGUCCCCAGGGAGGUCCCCAUCCCUGGGUGCCUGGGUCCCUCUUCUAGGGGUGUGUGUCCUCCUUCCCAGGACACCUGGGUCCCCGGAGAGGGUCCCCAUCCCUGGGUGCCUGGGUCCCCACCCGAAUUCCUGGGUCCCAUCCCCAGCCUCCUGGGGGAGGGAGGCUCCUCUUAUCUCCAUGAUGGGGCUGGGAAGGGCUCCCCACCCAAAUACCUGGGUCCCCAGGGAGGUCCCCAUCCCUGGGUGCCUGGGUCCCCACCCGAAUUCCUGGGUCCCAUCCCCAGCCUCCUGGGUCCCUCUUAUCUCCAUGAUGGGGCUGGGAAGGGCUCCCCACCCAAAUACCUGGGUCCCCAGGGAGGUCCCCAUCCCUGGGUGCUUGGGUCCCCCUUCUAGGGGUGCGUGUGUCCUCCCCACGACACCUGGGUUCCUGGAGGGGGUCCCAUCCCUGGGUGCCUGGGUCCCCACCUGGACACUUGGGUCCUCUGCACAGGAUGUCCUCUCCACAACCACUGUCCCCGGCGGUGGCCUCGGCCACGGUGGCCUCCAGGCGGGCGCUGGCGGUGCUGGCAGGGCUGGCAGAGGCUCUGGGGACACCGAGGGCGGUGGCCUCAGUGCUGGCGGAGGCCAAGGCAGUGCUGGCGGAGGUGGAGGCGGCGCUGGCAGGGCUGGAAGCGGCGCUGGUGGCAGCGAUGGCGUCAGCGGCGACGGCGACGCCGGAGCUCAGUGCCGAGGGUCUUUACCGGGCGCUGGCGGCGGUCGCUGAGGGCAGCGCCGCCGAACUGGAGCGGGAGCUGAGGCGGAACCACCGGCACUGCUGGGGGCUGCGGCUGGGCCGGACCGUCGCCCUGGUGCUGAUCCUCCUCUGUGCCCCUCUGCGUGAGUACGGACCAGUAUAGACCGGAAUGGACCAGUUCAGACCAGUAGGGAGCCCUACGAAUCUGCUUGGACCAGUAAUACCAGUUAAGAACCCUACAGACCAGUACACACCAGUAGGGACCCCUACAGGCCAGUAGAGACUUUCCCCUGCCCAGACCAGUAGGGACCAGUUCCAACCAGUAGGGAGCCCUACGAAUCUGCUUGGACCAGUAAUACCAGUAGAGAACCCUACAGACCAGUACACACCAGUAGGGAGCCCUACAGACCAGUACACACCAGUAGGGACCUCUACGGGCCAGUAGAGACUUUCCCCUGCCCAGACCAGUAGGGACCAGUUCCAACCAGUAGGGAGCUCUACGCCUCAGCUUGGACCAGUAAUACCAGUAGAGAACCCUACAGGCCAGUACACACCAGUAGGGACCUCUACGGGCCAGUAGAGACUUUCCCCUGCCCCGACCAGUAGGGACCAGUUCCAACCACUAGGGAGCUCUACGCCUCAGCUUGGACCAGUAAUACC
rnacentral:lncRNA from 1 species